AAAUGCAGCCACACCAUUUUGUGAGUGCUGAUCCUGUCAGAUCUCAGAACCUGAGCAAGGCAGGAACUGGUUAGUACUUGAAUGGGACACUGCCUUGGAAGACCAGGAGCCAUUAG
rnacentral:rRNA from 12 species